rnacentral:rRNA from 1 species
CUGGCUCAGAUUGAACGCUGGCGGCAGGCCUAACACAUGCAAGUCGAGCGGUAACAGAUCUAGCUUGCUAGAUGCUGACGAGCGGCGGACGGGUGAGUAAUGCAUAGGAAUUUACCCGAUAGUGGGGGAUAACCUGGGGAAACCCAGGCUAAUACCGCAUACGUCCUACGGGAGAAAGGGGGCUUUGGCUCCCGCUAUUGGAUGAGCCUAUGUCGGAUUAGCUAGUUGGUAGGGUAAUGGCCUACCAAGGCGACGAUCCGUAGCUGGUCUGAGAGGAUGAUCAGCCACAUCGGGACUGAGACACGGCCCGAACUCCUACGGGAGGCAGCAGUGGGGAAUAUUGGACAAUGGGGGCAACCCUGAUCCAGCCAUGCCGCGUGUGUGAAGAAGGCCCUCGGGUUGUAAAGCACUUUCAGCGRGGAAGAACGCCUGUCGGUUAAUACCCGGUAGGAAAG